CCGUGCUAGACGGGGAGGUAGCGGUGCCCUGUAACCCGCAAUCCGCUAUAGCGGGGUUGAAGUCCUGCCUGAGGAUGUGACUUGUGGGGUCUGACCUCCGUAAGGGACGUAGACGGUUGGGUCUCGCGCGACGGGGUCUCCCGAACCGUGUCAGGUCCUGGCGGAAGCAGCACUAAGGGAAUCACUCCGGGUGCCGCGAGGGUGCCUGGCCCGAGUUACCUGCGGCAGGUAACGCCCGGAAGUUGCUUUCAAGGGCAGGUGCACGG
rnacentral:SRP_RNA from 1 species